GACGAACGCUGGCGGCGUGCCUAAUACAUGCAAGUCGAGCGGACCAUUCCUUCGGGAAUGGUUAGCGGCGGACGGGUGAGUAACACGUAGGCAACCUGCCUGUAAGACUGGGAUAACUACCGGAAACGGUAGCUAAGACCGGAUAACUGGUUUCUUCACCUGAAGAGAUCAUGAAACACGGAGCAAUCUGUGGCUUACAGAUGGGCCUGCGGCGCAUUAGCUAGUUGGUAGGGUAACGGCCUACCAAGGCGACGAUGCGUAGCCGACCUGAGAGGGUGAUCGGCCACGCUGGGACUGAGACACGGCCCAGACUCCUACGGGAGGCAGCAGUAGGGAAUCUUCCGCAAUGGACGCAAGUCUGACGGAGCAACGCCGCGUGAGUGAUGAAGGUUUUCGGAUCGUAAAGCUCUGUUGCCAGGGAAGAAUGCCCAGGAGAGUAACUGCUCCUGGGGUGACGGUACCUGAGAAGAAAGCCCCGGCUAACUACGUGCCAGCCGCCGCGGUAAUAC
rnacentral:rRNA from 1 species